rnacentral:lncRNA from 1 species
CAGCGAAUGACUUGAUCUUGAGACACCUUUGAAAGGUGUCUUUCAACUCUAAUAGUAUGAGUCUGGUCAUUGGCCCUUAGUUUCCAUGGACAGUAAAUUGCAAACCAUACAAAAAGAUAUAUGAGGAGAAAGUGAAGUGAAGGAGAUGCACUUAUGGAAAUGAAUCUAAACAUAAGAGAAGGCUCUGGAUUUAGGCAUCAUUGGCCCUUUACCUCUGGGAGGGAAAUUCCCAACAAUCUGCAGGAUCUUUGAUGGCCAAGGAGGAUUUUGGAGAAAAAGUAACGUUAAACAGAUAGCAGUUACUAUAUGCUGGGCUAUGGAUUGAUCUGGGAUGGGCAUUUUGACAGUUCCUGCCAAUGAGAGGGAAGUAUAGUCAGCCAGGGGCUUCUGGGAAAGAUGGUAUGGAAGAUCUCUUUUGCCCUUUCUUUCCUGCCUGUAACACUGCUAUAUGAGGUAUAAUGUUGGAGCUGCCUCAGCCAUCUGGUGAUUUGAAGGGAGACUGAGGAUGACUGAGCAGAAAGAAAGAAAGAGACACUGCACCGUGCCGGGAUUGUCUUCAUGCAGACUGUUGAAAAAUAGAUCUCAGAAAAUGUUUUUAUAGUGCCCUAAGUUUCCUAAGGAUUUAGACUCAAAGCAUGGAAAUGAAGAACCUAGCUGUAAUACUAAGAUGCAUGAAGGUGAUGAGAGUGUCUAUUGCGUGAAGUUACCAUAAUCACCUGAACCAGUUCCUUAGCAGAGAAUAUUUAGGCUGUUUCUGACCUUUGCUGGUAGCAACAACAAUGCAGUGACUAUCCUGGAACAAAUGCCAUUUUGCUCCUGUAUGAAAAUAUCUGCAGGGUAACUUCCUAGAAGUCCAACUGCUAAGCAAUUUGGGUCUUCAGAGAUGAUUAAGAUGAAGUCAUCGGGUGGGCCCUAAUCCAAUAGGACUGUGUGUUUAUAAAAUGGGGAGAUUUGGACACAGAAACACACACACACACACACUGGGAGAACGCCAUGUGAAGAUGAAGGCAGAGAUUGGACUGAUGCUUCUACAAACCAAGGAACGCCAAAAACUGCCAGCAAACCACCAGGAGCUAGGAGAGAGGCGUGGAACAAAGGCUCCCUCACAGCUGUCAAGAGAACCAGGCUGCCAACACCCUGAUCUUGGACUUCUAACCCCAGAGCUGUGAUACAACAAAUAGCUGUUGUUUAAGCCACACAGUUUGUGGUAGUCGCAGUCCUACAGACUAAAAUACCAGGUAGUCAAGAAGUAGAAACGCAGCAGAUAGAAUAAAUAACUCAGCAGUCUUAAAUUUUUGACUUGGGAGAACCAUUAUGUUUGUUUAUUAAUAACAUUAAUUUCAGUCUUUUUUCAAAAAAUUUUUUUAUUGUGGUCUAAAUAGUUUAUAACAUUGUGAAAUUUCAGCAAUACAUUAAUAUUUGUCAAACACCAUAUAAGUGUGCCCCUGCACUCCUUGUGCCCACCUUCCCCCUCCUUUCCUCUGGUAACCACUAAAUUGUUCUCUUUGUCUGAAGGUUGUUUAUAUCCCACAUGUGAGUGAAAUCAUACGGUGUUUGUCUUUCUCUAUCUGGCUUAUUUUGCUUGACAUGAUGCCCUCAAGGUCCAUCCAUGUGGCUGUGAAUGGGACAAUUAUGUCUUUUCUUAUGGCUGAGUAGUAUUCCAUUGUAUAUAUAUACACACACCACAUCUUCUUUACCCGCUGGGCACUUGGGUUGCUGCCACAUCUUGGCUAUUGUGAAUAAUGCUGCAAUGAACAUAGGGGUACAUAAGUCUCUUUGUAUUAGUGAUUUCAAGUUCUUUGGAUAAAUACCCAGUAGUGGGAUAGCUGGGUCAUAUGGUAAUUCUGUUUUUAAUUUUUUGAGAAAUCUCCAUACUGUUUUCCAAAGUGGCUGCACCAGUUUGCAUUCUCACCAGCAGUGGAUGAGGGUUCUCUUUUCUUCACAACCUCUCCAACAUUUAUUAUUUUUUGUCUUGAUGAUUAUAGCCAUUCUAAAUGGGUGUACGGUGAUAUCUAAGUGUAGUUUUGAUUUGCAUCCCCUGAUGAUUAGUGAUCUUUUCAUGUGCCUAUAGCCAUUUGUAUAUCUUCUUUGGAAAAAUGUCUGUUCAUAUCCUCUGCCCACUUUUUGAUUGGGUUGUUUAUUCUUUUGUAGUUCAAUUGUGUUAGUUGUUUAUGUAUAGUGGAGAUUAACCCUUUAUUGGAUUUAUGAUUAGCAAAUAUUUUCUCCCAGUUGUUGGGUUGUUUUUUCAUUUUGAUCUUGGUUUCUUUUGCCUUGCAGAAGCUCUUUAGUAUGAUAAAGUCCCACUUGUUUAUUUUUUCUUUUGUUUCCCCUGUCUGAGUGGACAUCAACAUUAACUUCAUUCUUAACAUGAAUUUUUUGCCUUAAUAAGUUCCUGCAAUUAAAGCAACACAAAGGGGCCAGCCCGGUGGCACAGUGGUUAAGUUCGCACAUUCCACUUCUUGGCAGCCCGGGGUUCACUGGUCUGGAUCCUGGGUGCGGACAUGGCACUGCUUGGCAAAAGCCAUGCUGUGGUAGGCAUCUCAUGUAUAAAGUAGAGGAAGAUGGGCACGGAUGUUAGCUCAGGGCCAGUCUUCCUCGGCAAAAAAGAGGAGGAUUGGCAGUAGUUAGCUCAGGGCUAAUCUUCCUGAAAAAAAAAUAAAAGCAAAACAAAGCUACACCGAAUAGUAAUCUGAUACCAGAAAUUCGAGAAACUAUUCAACAUGAAUAGUAAGGAGAGAGGAUUGAACUCCACAAAUAAACUCUGCUCCAAAAGUAACAUCCUAGUGACCAGAGAUUUAAUUUAAAGAAGCUUAGCAAAAAUAUUUAAAUAAUUUAAGAACAUACUAAUUCCCUAAAUAAAUUAUA